rnacentral:lncRNA from 1 species
CUAUGUAUGUGACCCCAUAAGUUCGAACCUAAGCUGGUAGCACAAGAAUAAUUUCUAUACUAAUUGAUGUAACCAUCUAGCAAUGGGGCCUGACGUCUGGAUAGGCCAAAUGUAUGCCCAGCAAUAAUCUAGAACCUAUGUGGAUAUAGUUACCGUAUAAUUCAUCCCUUUGACACUCGAUGCUCAAAGAUGACUAAAGAUAAACUGUC